rnacentral:rRNA from 1 species
UGCCAGCCGCCGCGGUAAUACGGAGGGGGCUAGCGUUGUUCGGAAUUAUUGGGCGUAAAGGGCACGUAGGCGGCUAGGCAAGUUGGUGGUGAAAGCCCUCGGCUCAACCGAGGAAUUGCCCCCAAUACUGCCUGGCUUGAGUCCCGGAGAGGUUAGUGGAAUUCCCAGUGUAGAGGUGAAAUUCGUAGAUAUUGGGAAGAACACCAGUGGCGAAGGCGGCUAACUGGCUCGGUACUGACGCUGAGAUGCGAAAGCGUGGGGAGCAAACAGGAUUAGAUA